rnacentral:lncRNA from 1 species
GCCCGCGCCCUGCUCGGUGUCCCCAGAGCUUGUCCUUCCCUGGCCUGAUUCCUGCACCCGGAACCACGGAAAGGGAGGGGGAUCCUCGACGCGAGGGGAAGGCCGAGGGCCCGGCUGAGCAGGUCAGGGCCGCCGAGAAAUCCUCUCCUCCUAGAAGCUUUUCAGAGUGUCCCGGAGCAGACCCUGGUAGACCAGGACGCUCCACAAAAUGGUCCAGGAGCAGCCUGUGAGCUUGCCGAGGGCUGAGGUCAGCUCGUUUCAUCUCUGUGCUGGGCCCUGGGGACACAAGGCUCCUGAUCAGCGAAUGGUUUUUGUACGGGGAGUGCCCAGCACCGCCCGGUCCACGGAAGACCUUCAAUAAAGCUGUUGAGAAGCUUCAAGAACUAAUGGACAGACUAGAGAAGCGGGUUUGGAAAACAGGAAGCAAAACUUUUCUCCAUGACAACCAUCUCCAUAUUUCGAGAUGUCACAUUCUACCAUAAAGAUACAAAGCAAGACUGGGGCUAUUGAGGAAUUCAUGACUCAAGUGUGCAAAUCCUUUCUUGAAUCCAAAGGAAAAUAUCUUGCCGCUUUCAUAUGCUGCUUUGUAAAUGCCAAAAAGAUAACGAGAAAAGCCACUUUUUUGAGGAUACGGGAGUCGUUAGAAUUAUUAAAAGUUAAGUCAAGUGAAGAUGGGGUUAUCGCCCAUGAAUUUCUUGGAUGGGGUGAACUGGUGCUGGGGUCUUCAAGUUUGGAGGAGAGAGGGGAGUGGGCAGCUAGAAGAGAGAGAG